AAUUUCUUUUGCGUGUCAUGUCCGAUGGCUUAAAAGGAAUGGAUCCGUUGAAAUCGAAGCCGAUCUGAGGCAUUCACAGAACAUAUUGGUGAGGUCGUUCGAUUUAGUAUUCAACUAAGAAAAAUCUCAAAAGGUGUGGGUUCAGAUUGCCAGUAAAUCGUUUCAUUCUAUUUUUUUUAAUCUUUUUUUUCUCUUGCAAGGAUCUAUGAAGAUAAUAUUAUGUGUCUUAAUUUUAAAAAUAUGAAUUUUCUGUUAAAAUAUAUUUUUUCCUUUAAAUCUAGUUUUUAUUUUCCGGUCAAUUGGCUUUUCUAUAAUUUUAAUCAAUUAUUUUAGAAACCUAUUAUCCCAAAAUAUUAAUUAUUAUUAACAGUUAGUUUGUAUAAUAUUUAAAUAGCUAAUAUAAAUAUUUUAGUGACUUAAAAUUUAGUAAUUAAUAAAUUAAAUUAAUCCUAAUCUAUACUAUUAAAUAUUACAUCCAUAUUCAUUUGUUUGGGGCUCUUUAAUUUUAAAUUUAAAAAUAUGGGUUCAAGGCUUCAAGCCCGUUAAAUUAACCGACAAAAUAUAUUUAUUUAUUUUUUAAGGAUAGUUUCGACAAAAAAACAAAAUAAUUUAUCUCUCACCUGUCCGUUCCUCCUUCCCAAAGAGAAGAAGAUGGCGAUCUCCAACAGGAUCCUGAUCAUCCGAUCUUUAAUGGUAAAUCCUCAGUUACAUUAGUUUCUCUUAUUAAUCUGUCAUAUAUAUCUUGUCCCCUUUGAAAGUGUUUUACGAAGAACAAACAUAAAUCAGAUCUAACCUUUUUUAAUCUCUUUUGCAUGUUGGAUCUGAUGACUUUCUUGGUUAUUCCGAUGAGCUGGAAACAUGUUACGAUGCCUUAUUAAUAAAUAAGUUUUUAUUGAAAGUUUAAGCCG
rnacentral:lncRNA from 1 species